rnacentral:rRNA from 1 species
AGAGUUUGAUCAUGGCUCAGAUUGAACGCUGGCGGCAGGCCUAACACAUGCAAGUCGAACGGUAACAGGAAGCAGCUUGCUGCUUCGCUGACGAGUGGCGGACGGGUGAGUAAUGUCUGGGAAGCUGCCUGAUGGAGGGGGAUAACUACUGGAAACGGUAGCUAAUACCGCAUAAUGUCGCAAGACCAAAGAGGGGGACCUUCGGGCCUCUUGCCAUCGGAUGUGCCCAGAUGGGAUUAGCUUGUUGGUGGGGUAACGGCUCACCAAGGCGACGAUCCCUAGCUGGUCUGAGAGGAUGACCAGCCACACUGGAACUGAGACACGGUCCAGACUCCUACGGGAGGCAGCAGUGGGGAAUAUUGCACAAUGGGCGCAAGCCUGAUGCAGCCAUGCCGCGUGUAUGAAGAAGGCCUUCGGGUUGUAAAGUACUUUCAGCGGGGAGGAAGGGAGUAAAGUUAAUACCUUUGCUCAUUGACGUUACCCGCAGAAGAAGCACCGGCUAACUCCGUGCCAGCAGCCGCGGUAAUACGGAGGGUGCAAGCGUUAAUCGGAAUUACUGGGCGUAAAGCGCACGCAGGCGGUUUGUUAAGUCAGAUGUGAAAUCCCCGGGCUCAACCUGGGAACUGCAUCUGAUACUGGCAAGCUUGAGUCUCGUAGAGGGGGGUAGAAUUCCAGGUGUAGCGGUGAAAUGCGUAGAGAUCUGGAGGAAUACCGGUGGCGAAGGCGGCCCCCUGGACGAAGACUGACGCUCAGGUGCGAAAGCGUGGGGAGCAAACAGGAUUAGAUACCCUGGUAGUCCACGCCGUAAACGAUGUCGACUUGGAGGUUGUGCCCUUGAGGCGUGGCUUCCGGAGCAAACGCGUUAAGUCGACCGCCUGGGGAGUACGGCCGCAAGGUUAAAACUCAAAUGAAUUGACGGGGGCCCGCACAAGCGGUGGAGCAUGUGGUUUAAUUCGAUGCAACGCGAAGAACCUUACCUGGUCUUGACAUCCACGGAAGUUUUCAGAGAUGAGAAUGUGCCUUCGGGAACCGUGAGACAGGUGCUGCAUGGCUGUCGUCAGCUCGUGUUGUGAAAUGUUGGGUUAAGUCCCGCAACGAGCGCAACCCUUAUCCUUUGUUGCCAGCGGUCCGGCCGGGAACUCAAAGGAGACUGCCAGUGAUAAACUGGAGGAAGGUGGGGAUGACGUCAAGUCAUCAUGGCCCUUACGACCAGGGCUACACACGUGCUACAAUGGCGCAUACAAAGAGAAGCGACCUCGCGAGAGCAAGCGGACCUCAUAAAGUGCGUCGUAGUCCGGAUUGGAGUCUGCAACUCGACUCCAUGAAGUCGGAAUCGCUAGUAAUCGUGGAUCAGAAUGCCACGGUGAAUACGUUCCCGGGCCUUGUACACACCGCCCGUCACACCAUGGGAGUGGGUUGCAAAAGAAGUAGGUAGCUUAACCUUCGGGAGGGCGCUUACCACUUUGUGAUUCAUGACUGGGGUGAAGUCGUAACAAGGUAACCGUAGGGGAACCUGCGGUUG